AGAUUCUUUUGGAGGCUCUAAGCACAAAAACAACAAGAAAUUUGUGCUAAAAGAAGUGUAAAGAGGUUCCUGUUCAACAAGAUCUUGUAUCAGGAUCAAGUUCUUAGCAUGGCACUUAGAUUGCUGGAGGAGAAAUGGAGCUACUGGAGUCACAGAUGUAGCAAACUGAUCAACUCAGAGUACAGGAAGAUAGUUCCUGAUUUGGGAAGCGAGAGACUUCAGGGGAGUCUCACUGGAGCUUUCCAAUAAUCCUGGGUCUCACGAUGACGUCAUCAGGAUUGCGACAGCGGCGGUUCGCUGACGUCAGGCCUCCUGCGUGGACCAAGGCAGCACUGGGAGGAUCCCAGCAGCCCUGGCGAGGCUGAGGCACCCCUCGCCUCCGCCCCUGAGACAAAGGACCACGUGGGAAGGGUAAGAGAAGCGGCCGCAGGCUUACCUCGUGGUCCCUGGGGGGCACCCAUGGUUUCGGU
rnacentral:lncRNA from 1 species